rnacentral:misc_RNA from 1 species
CGAUAGCAGUGACAGGGGAAUUAGAGGCUUUUAGAGAUGCCUGAUAUUGGAAAAAUUGUGCAUAUUCCUCUACAGAUAUUAAGACAGUUUUCUCAGAUGAGGGUGCAACUGUAGACUCAUCUAUUGCCAUGUUUGCCAUCUGAGACCGCUGAUUCUUCCUCUGAAGCUUUAGACAAUUGUAUUUUGUAUGAUCAGGCUCAUGAAAAUAAUAACAAAUAACUUCUUUUGAGUCCAGAUUAGAAUUGUUUUCCCCAUUAUGCUGAUUACUUCUAUUGCUUGAAUUUCCUCCUUUAUUUCUCUGUUGUCCAUUCAUAUUUUGACUAACAAGAGCACCACUAGUAGUUUGUGGAAGUUGGGUACUUUCUGUACGAAGGACACGUGUGAAUGUAUCAUGUAGAGAGGAAAUUUCAGAGCUAGAUAGGAUUUGAGAUUUAGCAGUCUCAUAUUCUGAAUGAAGACUUGUAAGAAAACUCAUAACAGCCAUCUGCUCUC